GACCUGGUGGUGUAGUGGUAACACACUUGCUCAAGGUAAGUGGUGUAUCCCCGUGUGUGCAAGAGAUCCCUGUUCAACUCAGGGCUGGGUCA